AGUGAACGCUGGCGGUAGGCCUAACACAUGCAAGUCGAACGGCAGCACAGGAGAGCUUGCUCUCUGGGUGGCGAGUGGCGGACGGGUGAGGAAUACAUCGGAAUCUACUCUGUCGUGGGGGAUAACGUAGGGAAACUUACGCUAAUACCGCAUACGACCUACGGGUGAAAGCAGGGGAUCUUCGGACCUUGCGCGAUUGAAUGAGCCGAUGUCGGAUUAGCUAGUUGGCGGGGUAAAGGCCCACCAAGGCGACGAUCCGUAGCUGGUCUGAGAGGAUGAUCAGACAAAGUGGAACUGAGACACGGUCCAGACUCCUACGGGAGGCAGCAGUGGGGAAUAUGGGACAAGGGGCGCAAGCCUGAUCCUGCCAUACCGCGUGGGUGAAGAAGGCCUUCGGGUUGUAAGGCCCUUUUGUUGGGAAAGAAAUCCAGCUGGCUAAUACCCGGUUGGGAUGACGGUACCCAAAGAAUAAGCACCGGCUAACUUCGUGCCAGCCGCCGCCGUAA
rnacentral:rRNA from 1 species